UAUUUAUUCUUAAACAAGCUUUUCAAAAGAGUUUGGGUUAACUGUAUAAUCUGUAUAAGUAUAGAGUUGCUUUGCUUUUUUCUGAACUGGUGUAAUAAAUUUUGAACUUUCUAAAAAAAA